GCAGGCUGCCCAAGAGUGGGCAAGCACAGCAGGGCCAGUUGGAGGGCAGGACAAGGUGAGGGCAGGCCUUGGUGAGGACAGGAAUAUGAGAGGGCAGGACCAGGAGAAGUUAGGCCUAGGAGACGGCAGGACCAAGUGAGGGCAGGCCCAGGAGGGGGCACUCACAGGAGAGGGCUGGUUCAAGAGAGGGGAGGCCCAAGAGAGGGCAGGCCCAG